rnacentral:rRNA from 1 species
UACGUAGGGUGCGAGCGUUAAUCGGAAUUACUGGGCGUAAAGUGUGCGCAGGCGCAAAGCAAGUCGAGUGUGAAAGCCCCGGGCUUAACUUGGGAAUUGCGCUCGAAACUACUUUGCUGGAGUGUGGCAGAGGAAGGUGGAAUUCCACGUGUAGCGGUGAAAUGCGUAGAGAUGUGGAGGAACACCAAUGGCGAAGGCAGCCUUCUG